rnacentral:rRNA from 1 species
CAGGGAGGAAGCGAUACCAGGGUAUCGGCUCUUGGCGGGCUCAUGCCUAUCAGCUGUUGGUGAGUAACGGCUACCAAGGCUCGACGGGUACUGGUCUGAAGGACGAUCGCCACACUGCACUGCGACCGGGCCAGAUCCUACGGGGGCAGCAGUAGGAAUAUUCGCAAUGGGGAAAGCCUGCGCAGCGACCCGCGUGGGGAUGAAGGUUUCGGAUUGAAACCCCUUCGGGAGGGAGAUGGAAUGGGUAACCCAUCGGACGGUCCUCCAGAACAGCCACGGUAACUUUGUCCAGCAGCCCGGUAAUACAAGGUGGCAGCGUUAUUCUGAUUUACUGGCCGUACAGGAGCGUAAGCGGUUCGGAAGCCCUUUGUGAAAAUCUCAAGGCUUACCUGGAACGUCGGAGGGACUGCCCGGUUAUAAGACGG